UACAGAGGUCUCAAGCGUUGUUCGGAUUCAUUGGGCGUAAAGGGUGCGUAGGCGGCGCGGUAAGUCGGGUGUGAAAUCUCGGAGCUUAACUCCGAAACUGCAUUCGAUACUGCUGUGCUUGAGGACUGGAGAGGAGACUGGAAUUUACGGUGUAGCGGUGAAAUGCGUAGAUAUCGUAAGGAAGACCAGUGGCGAAGGCGGGUCUCUGGACAGUUCCUGACGCUGAGGCGCGAAAGCGUGGGGAGCGAACAGG
rnacentral:rRNA from 1 species